CAGAGACUGGAGCACAGUUGGAUCAUGCUCAGGAGGUGACAGAGUAGCCCCAGUAAAUCCCGCUCUCUCUCAGCCUGCUCCGUGCCGUCCACUCCUCUCCCUCUAUCCAGCCCAGCCUCGACUCUCUUCAGCCUCAGCCAUGGAGCCUCUCCCCGAGGUCCCCUUCAUGGAUGGGCUCACAAUGAAGGAGACAGCACGGUUCCAGCUGUGUAACCAACCAGGCCAGCUCAGUACAGUACAGCUUGGUUUGGCUCAGCCUGGUUCGGUUUGGCUCAGUAGUGUGAAAAGCCCCUCUGAGAGUGUGUUAGGAUAGUAGUUCUGAAACCUCUUCUCUGGGACCCCCACCCGACGUUUCACAAUUUUUGUUCUAACCCUGAACUACCACACCUGAUUAACAAUAAACCAAGGUGCUUGACGAUUAGUUGACAAGUUGAAUCAGGCGUUACCUGCUCUGGAAUGGAUUAAAUCCACGCGGAGGUUUAAAGGUUUUGAGGUGAGGUUAGAGAACCGCUGUGUUAGGACCCUGACGGACCUGUAGCAGGGUGCUCCACCGCUGUCCCUCCCUGCAGCCCCAGCCUCGGCCCCAGAUGCCAACGUCUACACCAAGUUCAUGAUGAACCACUGCUGCUACGACGCCAUUCCAACCAGCUCCAAACUGGUCAUCUUCGACACCACCUUGCAGGUAAAAAAGGCUUUCUUUGCUCUGGUGGCGAACGGUGUGCGAGCGGCGCCGCUGUGGGACAACAAGCUGCAGUGUUUUGUAGGUAUGCUGACCAUCACAGACUUUAUCAACAUUCUCCACCGGUACUGGCAGUCUCCUCUGGUAGAGAUCUACGAACUGGAGAAGCACAAGAUAGAAGAAUGUAGAGAGGAAUUACUGAAGUACUCCAACCAUACUCUGAUCAGUAUCACACCCGACUCCAGCCUCUUUGAUGCCAUCUACUCUCUACUGAAGUAUAAGAUCCACCGGCUGCCUGUGAUCGACCCAGAGUCUGGCAACGUCCUGCACAUCCUCACCCACAAACGCAUCCUCAAGUUCCUCCACAUCUUUGGCACCAUGAUCCCGAAGCCUCGGUACCUCCAAAAGAGGAUUGAGGAGGUGGACAUUGGAACGUUUAAACGGAUCGCUACUAUCCAGGAGACAGCCACGGUGUAUGAUGCCCUGGCCAUCUUUGUAGAACGAAGGGUUUCCGCUCUGCCAGUGGUCAAUGAGGAGGGGAAGGUCAAGGCUCUGUACUCCAGGUUUGAUGUGAUUAACCUGGCAGCUCAGAAGAACUACAACAACCUGAACAUGACAAUGCAGGAGGCGAUUAGCUCCAGGGCCUGCUGUGUGGGGGGAGUGCUGAAGUGUUACCCCCACGAAACUCUGGAGACUAUCAUCGAUCGCAUUGCUAAGGCAGAGGUUCACCGUCUAGUGCUGGUGGAUAAAGAUGACGUGGUGGGAGGGAUCGUCUCGCUCUCUGACCUCCUCCAGGCCCUGGUCUUGACCCCGGCAGGUAUUGAUGCCCUUUUCUCUUAGCACCUGACUGUGGGGGUGUGAAUCCAUCGAUCACCACCAACCACCUCCCAGCCCCUCCCCAGCCCCAACCCCAGAGAUUUCGCAAAGAGCAAACUGAAGAAAAAUUGGGAGACUUAUAAUGAAUGAAGAAAGAAACUGUAAAUAUUUUUGAUCAUGCUCGGUAACUUUAAAAAAUGCUUUUUAAAAGGUUUAUUAUAUUCUGCAGGAUAACACCAAUGCGUUCGUAUUUUUAUAUUCAUGUAUUUGUGUCUUUGUUUGUUUAUUUAUACAUUUUUUUGAUAAUGUACAUUUUCUCAAAUCUCUCCUAUUUAGUGAUUAUUUAAAGAUACACAAUAUUUAUGUUUCCUCCAAAUACAUGUUCCUCUUCUCCAUAAAUAUUGUCUCUUUAAAUAAUGUUCCUCCUCUAAUCCAUAAUUAUUAUGUCUCUUUAAAUAAUGUUAUUCUACUCCAUAAAUAUCAUGUCUCUUUAAAUAAUGUUUCUCCUCUUCUCCAUAUAUAUUAUGUCUCUUUAAAUGUGGUCCUUUGUAGCUCAGCUGGUAGAGCACGGUGCUUGUAACGCCAAGGUAGUGGGUUCGAUCCUCGGGA